rnacentral:rRNA from 1 species
AUGAACGCUAGCGACAGGCUUAACACAUGCAAGUCGAGGGGCAGCACAGGUAGCAAUACCGGGUGGCGACCGGCGCACGGGUGAGUAACGCGUAUGCAACUUGCCUAUCAGAGGGGGAUAACCCGGCGAAAGUCGGACUAAUACCGCAUGAAGCAGGGGCCCCGCAUGGGGAUAUUUGCUAAAGAUUCAUCGCUGAUAGAUAGGCAUGCGUUCCAUUAGGCAGUUGGCGGGGUAACGGCCCACCAAACCGACGAUGGAUAGGGGUUCUGAGAGGAAGGUCCCCCACAUUGGUACUGAGACACGGACCAAACUCCUACGGGAGGCAGCAGUGAGGAAUAUUGGUCAAUGGGCGUAAGCCUGAACCAGCCAAGUCGCGUGAGGGAUGAAGGUUCUAUGGAUCGUAAACCUCUUUUAUAAGGGAAUAAAGUGCGGGACGUGUCCCGUUUUGUAUGUACCUUAUGAAUAAGGAUCGGCUAACUCCGUGCCAGCAGCCGCGGUAAUACGGAGGAUCCGAGCGUUAUCCGGAUUUAUUGGGUUUAAAGGGUGCGUAGGCGGCCUUUUAAGUCAGCGGUGAAAGUCUGUGGCUCAACCAUAGAAUUGCCGUUGAAACUGGGGGGCUUGAGUAUGUUUGAGGCAGGCGGAAUGCGUGGUGUAGCGGUGAAAUGCAUAGAUAUCACGCAGAACCCCGAUUGCGAAGGCAGCCUGCCAAGCCAUUACUGACGCUGAUGCACGAAAGCGUGGGGAUCAAACAGGAUUAGAUACCCUGGUAGUCCACGCAGUAAACGAUGAUCACUAGCUGUUUGCGAUACACUGUAAGCGGCACAGCGAAAGCGUUAAGUGAUCCACCUGGGGAGUACGCCGGCAACGGUGAAACUCAAAGGAAUUGACGGGGGCCCGCACAAGCGGAGGAACAUGUGGUUUAAUUCGAUGAUACGCGAGGAACCUUACCCGGGUUUGAACGCAUUCGGACCGAGGUGGAAACACCUUUUCUAGCAAUAGCCGUUUGCGAGGUGCUGCAUGGUUGUCGUCAGCUCGUGCCGUGAGGUGUCGGCUUAAGUGCCAUAACGAGCGCAACCCUUGCCACUAGUUACUAACAGGUAAAGCUGAGGACUCUGGUGGGACUGCCAGCGUAAGCUGCGAGGAAGGCGGGGAUGACGUCAAAUCAGCACGGCCCUUACAUCCGGGGCGACACACGUGUUACAAUGGCGUGGACAAAGGGAGGCCACCUGGCGACAGGGAGCGAAUCCCCAAACCACGUCUCAGUUCGGAUCGGAGUCUGCAACCCGACUCCGUGAAGCUGGAUUCGCUAGUAAUCGCGCAUCAGCCAUGGCGCGGUGAAUACGUUCCCGGGCCUUGUACACACCGCCCGUCAAGCCAUGGGAGCCGGGGGUACCUGAAGUCCGUAACCGAAAGGAUCGGCCUAGGGUAAAACUAGUGACUGGGGCU